UACGGAGGGGGCAAGCGUUGUUCGGAAUUACUGGGCGUAAAGGGCGCGCAGGCGGCUGCUCAAGUCAGGGGUGAAAUCCCGGGGCUCAACCCCGGAACUGCCCUUGAAACUGCAGUGCUAGAAUUCUGGAGAGGCGAGUGGAAUUCCGAGUGUAGAGGUGAAAUUCGUAGAUAUUCGGAAGAACACCAGUGGCGAAGGCGACUCGCUGGACAGACAUUGACGCUGAGGUGCGAAAGCGUGGGGAGCAAACAGG
rnacentral:rRNA from 1 species